GACGAACGCUGGCGGCGUGCUUAACACAUGCAAGUCGAACGGAAAGGCCCUGCUUUUGUGGGGUGCUCGAGUGGCGAACGGGUGAGUAACACGUGAGUAACCUGCCCUUGACUUUGGGAUAACUUCAGGAAACUGGGGCUAAUACCGGAUAGGAGCUCCUGCUGCAUGGUGGGGGUUGGAAAGUUUCGGCGGUUGGGGGUGGACUCGCGGCUUAUCAGCUUGUUGGUGGGGUAGUGGCUUAUCAAGGCUUUGACGGGUAGCCGGCCUGAGAGGGUGACCGGCCACAUUGGGACUGAGAUACGGCCCAGACUCCUACGGGAGGCAGCAGUGGGGAAUAUUGCACAAUGGGCGGAAGCCUGAUGCAGCAACGCCGCGUGCGGGAUGACGGCCUUCGGGUUGUAAACCGCUUUCGCCUGUGACGAAGCGUGAGUGACGGUAAUGGGUAAAGAAGCACCGGCUAACUACGUG
rnacentral:rRNA from 1 species